rnacentral:lncRNA from 1 species
ACCUUCAAAGAAGAGGUGUAUAUUGUGGAUGUACCUCAUCUUUGGGUAUUUCUGAUUGAGGAUCUUCUUGUGAUCUAACCACAGGUAUUUCUGGAUCGAUUUAUAGAUCAUAAACUUCCAUAAGUUCAAUAUUCCUCCCACUGCCUCUUUCUUGGAUCAAUUCAUUUUUUAAGAAAGUGGUAUGCCUACUAACAUAUACUUUUUGUUCAGUAGAGUGG